rnacentral:rRNA from 1 species
ACCUACGGGAGGCAGCAGUGAGGAAUAUUGGUCAAUGGCCGGAGGCCUGAACCAGCCAAGCCGCGUGAAGGAAGAAGGCCCUACGGGUCGUAAACUUCUUUUGUCAGGGAGCAAAGGACGCCACGCGUGGCGCUCUGAGAGUACCUGAAGAAUAAGCAUCGGCUAACUCCGUGCCAGCAGCCGCGGUAAUACGGAGGAUGCGAGCGUUAUCCGGAUUUAUUUGGUUUAAAGGGUGCGCAGGCGGUUUGUCAAGUCAGCGGUAAAAUUUCGAGGCUCAACCCCUUCCCGCCGUUGAAACUG